rnacentral:lncRNA from 1 species
CUCAACAGGAAUUCCAAACCCUAGAACUUGCUUUGGACUCAACACAUCUAACCACUCUUCAGCUGAUAUCCACUUGCUGACAAAUGAAUCUCUCUGGCCCCUGGACUGUGCCCUGAAACACAGCUUAAAACAGCAGAAUGAACAGUAAUCCCAGAGAUCCUGAGAUGAGAAAAGGGUGUUUGACUUAUUCAAAGAAGACCAAGGAAGCCCAAAGACCAGAGAAGAGUGCAGGAAAGGGGCGGCGGUCUGAGAUGCAGUCAGAGCAGUGGCAAGCCCCCAGAGUCUGUGGCAAAGACUUCAGGUUUCAUCCUGAAGAGGAAGACAGGUCUUUGGAGAGUUUUGAUCAAGGAAGUGAGAUGAAAUAUCUUAGGCUUACAAAGAACUACUCUGACAUCUAAAUGGAAAAUGGACUGAUGAAGCAAAAGAAGCCACAAGGAAGCCAGUUCAGAGGCUAUUGAAAUGCUCCAGAAGAAGCAGCAAAGUAUCCAGCCAAAGUUUCUGUUUGCCAUCUAUUCAAUUUAAUACUAAGAGAUUUGUGCUUGACUGUCUUUGAAGAAAUUAAAGAGAAGGCUAAAGAAUGUUGUAUGGGUCUGUUGUAAAAGCUACCACAAAAGGGUUGCAAUUAAAAAUAAAAUUUGACAAGUAA